GAGUCUUUGGUGUCCAGAGCCCUUGCUGGAGCUUGACCACAUGCUGCCUGCAUGACUGACCUUUGCUCUCCAGUCCCUAUGGGGGCUGGAACUGAUAUGGCGUGUUUCGGAGCCCCCAUUAUAAAUCACAUCAUUUGAGCAUCUGGUGGCCAAACUCCUCAGGCAAACAAUGACAUUCCUAUUGGGCAGGACAUUCCAGAGGCCUAGAGAUCAUCUCCCAGUAGCCGAGGGCCAAAGCCAGACCUCUCUUUGGUUGGCUUCAGGUCACAUGUUGCUCUGGAGAACCGAGAAGGGUGAGCAGACACCAAUCAUGACCCCAAACAGCAAGAGGACAGAAGUCUGCAGGAUGCUCAGCAGGGGCACUCCCUGAACACGCCUGCUCCCACAGCAUGUGCAAAGGCUUCACACUUGGAUUGAGGGUUAUACAUUUCUUCAUGGACAUCCCCAAACAACACAGAACAGAGACAAGGUUUCUGGUCCUUUUGGAAUGUCCACACCAUUCCCAUUCUUCAAAAUCUGUCACACUUCCAGAUAGUUCCAGUGAACAAUGAACUCUCCCCCUAUGCAGUAACAGUUGAUUAUUCAAUUUAACACUGAAUUAUAUAUUCUCUGGAACUGUUCUCUAACAACUAUGAGGCGUUUUCAACGGUAGUUGAAUGGAAAAAUACCAAACUGGGAGUAAAAAGAUCUGGCUUCCAGGCCAGGCGCGGUGGCUCAUGCAUGUAAUCCCAGUACUUUGGGAGGCUGAGGCGGGCGGAUCACCUGAGCUCAAGAGUUCGAGACCAGCCUGGACAACAUGGUGAAACCCUGUCUCUACUAAAAAUAGAAAAAUUAGUCAAGCGUCAUGGUGGGCGCCUGUAAUCCCAGCUGCUCGGGAGACUGAGGCAUGAGAAUCGCCUGCACCUGGGAGGCGGAGGUUGCAGUGAGCCGAGAUCGGGCCAUUGCACUCCAGCCUGAGCGACAGAGCAAGACUCCGUCUCAAAAAAAAAAAAAAAAGAUCUGGCCUCUCAAGAGGCCGCCACUAACUCUCUGUGUAACCUUGAGCAAGCCAAUGUUCUGGGCCUUGGUGCUUCCUGCAGGGUAAGAGGAGGACUGCCGAUCUCUAAGGAUCUUCCGUGGUCUAUGGGUUUAUGACUCGAAACUCCUCAAAGUGCAGAAACACAAGCCACAUCCCUUCUCAAGGCCAGACACAUACUAGGAGCUCUAUUAAUACCUGAAUAAAAACCACGGAUGAAGAGCUUGCCUGGCCCUGGCAUUUCUAUACCAAACCAACACACCAUGGAUCAUUGUAUCUUCCCUGGGACAGACCCUCAGAGCCUACAAGUGACUCUACAACUUCACUGAUACAGAUCUAUUAUUCCUUAGCUUAGACUUCCAUCUCUCCAGAUCAACCUUCAGGAAAACUAGGAAACUAUCAAUAAUGAUUUCAAUUGUCGGCUUCAAAUUCACCUUAUUUCUUCUACCCCAGCAUGCCUUUUUUGUGGCAGCACUUAGAUUCUCAUUCAGAAAACAAACGCAUUCAUGCCGUACCAGUGAUUUGUUGGGGAAACUGCCUCGGCCCCACCACCCAGAUCCCCCACGUUCCUACCAAGUAAGCCAAGUGACCAUGUGAAGAACUGACUGACACCCAGAGGAAACUAAUAAACAAAAACAAAUAAAAGCAAAUACCUUUUCAGGAAUCUCACUUGGAAAACCAAGUAUAAUGGCAAAAACAACCAAAAAAAAAAACCCGAAUGUUUUCAGCGUUGGGGAUGUUGGGGGUGUAGACAUCUCGAGAGCUGGUUUCCGAAGGCACCGCACCCCAGACAAUGUGCUACAAGAGCCUCCCGGCUGCUGUGUCAAUGAAGCCUUUCAGGCCCUCCACACUGCUUCACUUGUUCCCUAAAGUAGUGCUUUCUGGAAGCUAAACUCUCAGCUGGCGAGAACAGUGAACUCUGUGCCAUUUGUCUAUCAACUCCUUUAAAAAGAAAAACCUCCUGUACGGCUCUCUUGUUUUGCAUUUUCUAUUCUGCACUCCAGUACGCAUAACGACACACAGAAGAGGCAAGGGCCUCUUUUAAAACCGUGAAGAAAGAAUAAAUUUGAAAGCACCCAGAAGCCUCUGCUUUCAGCUAUUAGAGAAAAGUUUGCAUCCCAUAGAAACCAGUACUAAUUAAAAAAAAAAAAACUCAGUCCUCAACCCUGGGAAUCAACAAUAAGGGACUCUUCAGGGUGUGGAGUAACAAAAAAAUUUAAAAACAAAAAAUAAAUGUGCACAGCCCAUCUAUCUUUUCCCAAUCAAAUAAUACAGCCUUCCAAAAUGUAAAAAUAGAAAUAUUUUCACAUGUGAAUUUUACCUCAAUAAAGUAAUUUUUUAAAAAUCUUUUUAGCCGGGCACAGUGGCUCAUGCUUAUAAUCCCAGCAUUUUGGGAGGCCAAGGCAGGCAGAUCACGAGGUCAGGAGUUCAAGAUCAGCCUGGCCAAGAUGGUGAAACCCCAUCUCUACUAAAAAUACAAAAAAUUAGCCAGGCAUGGUGGUGCACACCUGUAAUCUCAGCUACUCGGGAGCUGAGGCAGGAGAAUCGCUUGAACCCAGGAGACAGAGGUUGCAGUGAUCCAAGACUGAGCCUGCACUCCAGCCUGGGUAACAAGAGUGAAACUCAGUCUCACAAAAAAAAAAAAAGAAGAAGAAGAAAACAGGAAGUGCCUUCCAUAAUUCCAAAUACAGUAUUGUUAAAUAUUAAUGUAUUAUGUCCAAAUAGUUCAGUGAAUUUCAAGUUUUCAUCCAGAUGAAUGGAGUUCUUCAUAUUCAUUCAACUAAUAAAUAUUCCUUGAGCAUCUACGACAUGCUAGGCAUUUUUACAAGUAAAAACAAAAGUAGACAAAAAUUGCUGUCUUUAUGGACUCUAUAUUCUAGUAGAGGGCAGAAAAGCCAGUGACCGAUAAAAGCCAGUGACCAACACUUGUGUUUUUUAGCUGACUUAUUCUUGGGUAUUUAAAAGAGAUCUUGGGCCGAGCAGUGGCUCAUGUCUGUAAUCCCAGCAUGUUGGGAGGCCGAGGCGGGCGAAUCAUCUGAGGUCAGGAGUUCGAGACCAGCCUGGCUAACAUGGUAAAACCCCAUCUCUACUAAAAACACAAAAAAUUAGCCAGGCGUGUUUGGCGCACGCCUGUAAUCCCAGCUACUCGGGAGGCUGAGGCAGGAGAAUUCCUUGAACCUGGGAGGCGGAGGUUGCAAUGAGCUGAGAUUGCGCCAUGGCACUCUGGCUUGGGCAACAAGAGCAGAACUCCGUCUGAAAAAAAAAAAAGAUCUUGAAGUUCAAAAAUUAUACGAGUCUGUUAUUUUCCUAGUCUUUUCUCCACUCCAAAGAAAGAUAAACCUAAUUGGUAUUCCUUACCACUACAACAAUCAGGACCACUGAAGUGAGAGGAAAGGAAGCUAUACAAGGAUGUAUUUAAAGCUCAUUACUUAAACAAAAUGAAAACAUAAGAUCCAGAGAGUUCUUUUUAUGUUUGUUUAAGAGCUUCAGAAAGGCUGGGCAGGCUGGCACAUGCCUGUUGUCCUAGCUACUCGGGAGGCUGAGGCAGAAGGAUAGCUUAAGCCCAGGAAUUUGUAUCCACCCCAGGCAACAUAGUGAGGCCUCAUUAAAAAAAAAAAGGAAAGAAAAAAGGGUUUUAGAAAACAUAAUCUGAUGCACAGAUUAUAGAGUUUUGCAUUUUUAAAAAAUAGAUCUAAUUGAUAAGACAGCAAAAAAUGAAUAUGUGGAACCCAGCAAUUUCAUUCCACGUACACACUAGAGCAGUAAUCAGCAAACAUUUUCUGCAUAGAAUUAGAUACCAGAUAUUUUAGGCUUUGCACGCCAUCCAGUCUCUGUUACAACCACUCACUAGGCCUGAAAACGGCCUUAGGUAAUAUAUAAAUGCAUGAGCAUGGCUGUUCCAAUAAAACUUUACUUAUGGACACUGAAACUUGAAUUUUCAUGUGUCAUAAAAUAUUAGUCUUUCCAUUUUUAAAAACCAUUCAGAAAUGUAAAAACCACCUUAGUGUCUGGGUCAUACAAAAAAAAGGUGGAGGGUCCACGGGCCAGACCAUGGUUUGCCAAUCCCUGCUCUAAAGAACUCUUACAGGCCAGGCACAGUGGCUCGCGCUUAUAAUCCCAGCACUUUGGGAGGCCAAGGUGGGCAGAUCACAUGAGGCCAGGAGUUCAAGACCAGCCUGGCCAACACAGUGAAACCCUGUCUCUACUAAAAAUACAAAAAUUAACUGAGUGUGGUGUCGCGCAUCCGUGGUCCCAGCUACUUGGGAGGCUGAGGCACGAAAACCGCUUGAACCCAGGAGGCAGAUGUUGCAGUGAGCCGAAGUCGUGCCACUGCAUUCCACCCUGGGUGACAGAGCAAGACUCUGUCUUAAAAACAAACAGACAAAAAGAACUCUUACAUACACAUAACUCAACUACACAUGAGAAUGUUCAUAACAUCAUUAUGUGAAUUAGCAAGUAUGCAGAUACCAAAAAUGUUGGUAGACAAAAACUGGAGUUACAUGUAUCAACAUGGAUGAUCUUACAAACCUAUUUAAGAGAAAACACAAAUUACAGAAGAACAGUUACAACGUCAUUUAUAUACAAAUUUUAAAUAUGCAGAAAUUAUAUAUUACUGAGCAUAUUUAACAUAUAUAAUAAAAGUCUGAACAGGCCAUGCGCAGUGGCUCAUGCCUGUAAUCCCAGCACUUUGGGAGCUGAGGCAGGUGGAUCACUUGAGAUCAGGAGUUCAAGACCAGCCUGGCCAACAUGGCGAAACCCCAUCUCUACUAAAAAUUCAAAAAUUAGCCAGGUGUGUUGUUGCGCAUCUGUAACCCUAGCUACUCAGGAGGCUGAGGCAGGAGAAUCACUGAACCCGGGAGCCAGAGGAUGCAGUGAGCCAAGAUUGUGCCACUGCACUCCAGCCUCGGUGACAGAGUAAGACUCUUGUCUCAAAAAACAAAAAGGAAUGUUCCACAUCAAACUCAUUUACCUGGGAAUGACGUCAGGGGGAGGCAGGAGAAGGAUACAACUGGAGAAGGAUGCACAGGGGGCUUCAACUGCAUUGUUGAUGUUUCAUUUUUUAAACUGAGUGACAAGUCGAUCAAUGUCCAUUCUUGAUACCACUGUGUACCUUAAAUAUUUAAUAAUAAAUAAAAAGAAAUGUGCAGUUUUGGGCUUUUUUUUGUUUUUUUUUGUUUUUUUAGAUAGAGUCUCGCUCUGUCACCCAGGCUGGACUACAGUGGCGUGAUCUGGGCUCACGCCCAGAUCCUGAGUAUCUGGGACUACAGGCGUGCACCACCAUGCCUGGCUAAUUUUUGUAUUUUUAGUAGAGUUUUACCAUGUUGGCCAGGCUGGUCUCGAACUCCUGACUUCAAGUGGUCCACCUGCCUUGAUCUCCCAAAGUGCUGGAAUUACAGGCAUGAGCCACUACGCCCAGCCAGGAAUGUGUAGAUUUAAUGUGAAUUUAGCAAAUGGUUUGUCCUAUUUGAGGGCAGAGGUGAGGUCAGCUUAUAUUAACAUAUCCAAAAACUUGGUUUGAGCCCAGAUUUCUGACACUAAAAACAAAAAAUGCCCCAUUUGUUUCUUUCUUCUUUCUUCUUUUUUUUUAGAGAUGGAGUCUCGCUCUGUCGCCUGGGCUGGAGUGCAGUGGGGCAAUCUUGGCUCACUGCAAGCUCCACCUCCCGUGUUCACGCCAUUCUCCUGACUCAGCCUCCUGAGUAGCUGGGAACACAAGCGCCCACCACCACGCCCAGCUAAUUUUUGUAUUUUUAGUAGAGACGGGGUUUCACCGUGUUAGCCAGGAUGGUCUCAAUCUCCUGACCUCGUGAUCCACCUGCCUCAGCCUCCCAAAGUGCUGGCAUUACAGGCGUGAGCCACCACGCCCAGCCUAUUUGUUUCAUUUUUUAAAAUUGGACUGAACCUUAGGAGAAAACAGAAAAUUGUACUACAUUCUUGCAUAGCUAGCUAAUGUAAAUAGCUUCAAGCAACAAACUAGAUAUUAUUGAUCCGUUUCAAAAGAGCUGAGUCAGGCUGUACACGGUGGCUCAUGCCUGUAAUCCCAGCACUUUGAGAGGCCGAGGCAGGCGGAUCACCUGAGGUCAGGAGUUGGAGACCAGCCUGGCCAAUGUGGUGAAACCCCAUGUCUACAACAAAAAAAUACAAAAAUUAGCUGGGCAUGGUGGCGCGUGCCUGUAGUCCCAGCUACUGGGGAGGCUGAGGCACAAGAAUCGCUUGAACCCGGUAGGUGGAAGUUGCAGUGAGCCAAGCAGAGAUUGCACCACUGAACUCCAGCCUGGGCUGGAGGUUUUUUUCAUCUCGGGAAAAAAAAAAAAAAAAAAAAGAGCUGAGUCAGAUUCUGACUUGUCUAACGGACUCAGUCGUGAUGUUUUGCCUGUCUGCUCCAAGUUCCCCUGUUCCAGACACAUCUCUCACAGCAUUACAAUGAUCUACAUGCCCUAGGAAUAGCGACUUUCCAUCAUCUGCCUCAUCAGAGCAAAUAGAAGU
rnacentral:lncRNA from 1 species